AGAGGGUUUUCUGUGCAGCCUUGACCACACUCUCUCCCCUCACGCCAGUUCAGGAUCUGCUUCCCAUGAGUUCUCUUCCCCAGCGUCAUUCUGAAAGUGAAUUUCCCGGGAAUUCCAUUUUACCCAAACCCAGACCCUGGACCACCUCCAAGUAUGUCGCAAACAUUGCAGGAAAGGAGAUGCUCCGUAGGCCAGUCCCUUCGUAGUUAAGGCCCUGUCCCAAGAGCAUCCUCGGCUGUGCACUGGGCAUGUGGGGUGGGAGGGCAUGGCACUGGCAAUUCAGAUGCCAGCCAGCUUCCUCUUCUGUCCAUCCUUGAGGCCAUCAUAGGCCAGAACAGUCUAGCAAGGUGGCUGUUAGGCCCCAAGGAGCCAGGGCAGCGGUUAGUAGCAGAUUGGCCUGUUUGACAUUCCGGGUGCUUCAGCGACUGGUGGGUGGGCACUGCCAGGGAAGGGUGGGGGGUGGGAGCUGCUGCAAAGGUUGGAGAUGAAGGCAGAGGGGGUGAGGUGGGGCUCACGUUUCAGCAGCACAGCUCCCGCUGCACGGCCAUGCUGGUGGCCAGGCCUGGGCCACCUGCUUAGUCCCUUGGCCAUGGCCAGCACCAGCCACAGCAGGCGUGCUUGCGGGUGGAGGCUUCGCUGCUAGCUGGCAGCGUAUCCCUGAAAGUCUCAGCUCAGACCUUGUCCGGGGCCGUGCGUAGGGCCAGCAGCCCCCGGCCCGGGGAGGGUUUUCAGUCAUGAUCAUAGACCAGAGCUGCCUCUCCAUCUCGAGGGGAAAUGGCACACGGGGAGUUCCCACUGUGGCUCAGCGGUGUAAUGAACCCAACGAGUACCCAUGAGGACAUGGGUUCGAUGCCUGGCCUUGCUCAGUGAGUUAAGGAUCCAGCAUGGCCAUGGGCGUGGCCCCCCCAAAAUUAGGAAUUUCUGCCUAAUUCUUUGGUACAUUCCUUGAGUACCAGGAAGAAGAUCUCCAGCUGGAUCAAAUAAUGUAGCAUCAUUACGAAAACAGUUUGACCCUGUGAAUCCCAGAAGGGUCUUGGGCGCCCUGGGGACCCAGACCAGAGGUUGUUGAGAACCACGGAUGCCUCGGAUGGUCCGGAAUAGUUCCCUGUAUUUUAUAACCGGUGCUGCUCCGUCAGCGGUAGUUAUGCUGUUAGCCGAACCUGGAGACGUAGGCGGGACAGGGACGCAGGAGGGGCGAGAGCUGGGCUCUGGGAGACCCUCCUGAUGUUGAGGGCAGGCCCCUGGCCGGCGAUCCUCGGCAGUGCCCGUGCCUGGCAGAGCACCCAGCACCUCGUAGGCGCUCAGGCAGAUGUGUGGAAGGAACGGGGGUCAGUGAGCUUGGCCCCCACCUCCUCCUUCCGAGGCUGCGAAGGUUUGGCGAGGGAGGGGAAGAGGCAGGUCGCACACAGGGCCCGUGGGGACACAGCCGUGGCCUUUGCUCUUGGUGUCUGCAUGCAGGAAAGUCACGUUGGAGGCUCCCGGGCUACAUUUCCUACCUCGGGUUUGUAGUGAGAUUUGCCUCUGCCCUGAAAUCUCAGGAAGAAGGAGACCCGGAUGCAGUGAAACACACGGUCUGCACGUGUCAGGGCGGCCACCGGGGAGGGACCCUGGGCAUCGUCCGCAGGUGGAGUGGGGGCAGGCAUCCAAGGGGCUGCAAGGGGCUGUUUCCUUAGAGGUGCUUUCAUUAUAGUAACACGCAUAUACUAUAAACAUUUGGGGAGUUCCCACUGUGGCUCGGUGGGUUAAGGAUCCAACUCUAGCGGUGCAGGUCGCAGCUGUAACUUUGAUUCAAUCCCUGACCCUGGGAACUUCCAUAUGCUGCAGAUGUAGCCCCCCCAAAUUUUUUUUUCAGAAAAUGCUAGAAAGGUAGAAAAUAUUUGGCAGAGUCUACCUUAGAUAACCAUUCCUAACCUUCCUCUUUCUGUUCUCCCAACUCAACAUGCACUUUUGUGUUGUUUUUGCUGUUUUUUGUCUUUUCUUGGGCCGCACCCGCGACAUAUGGAGGUUCCCAGGCUAGGGGUCAAAUCGGAGCUACAGCUGCCGGCCAAUGCCAGAGCCACAGCAACGCCAGAGCCCAGCCGAGUCUGAGACCUACACCACAGCUCAUGGCAACGCCGGAUCCUCAACCCACUGAGCGAGGCCAGGGAUCGAACCCACAACCUCAUGGUUCCUAGUCGGAUUCGUUUCCACUGCGCCACGACGGGAACUCCCUCAACGUGCACUUUUAAACGUUGGUGUUUUCUUCUCUUGUGUGGACUUUUACAUCUUCAUUUAUUUUUUUAAACUUUGAGUAUUUUUCCUUAUAACUUCAAAUGCUCUGUGAACGUUAAUUAGUAAAUAAUUUGUGUAAUUUUUUGGCCGCACCUGCCAAGGGAUCGAACUUGAGCCAUAGCAGUGACAAUGCCACAUCCUUAACUGUUUGGCCGCCGGGGAAUAGGAGCAUUAUUUUAUUUUAAUUGAUUUAUUUGAGUUCAUGCCCAUGGCAUGCAGAAGUUCCUAGGCCAGGGAUUGAACCUGUGCCGUGGCUGUGACCUGAUCCCUAACCCACUGAGCCACUGAGGAACUCCCCAAGAUUAUUUUAAAAGUCUACAUUGAGUGGCUGUAUCACAAUGUAUUUAAUCACUCUUUUAAUUCAGGGGAGAAACGUAGGUCUCUUGGUGAUGGGGCCCUUUCGACAUCAAGGUUUCAUUCGUGUUUCUCGAGUUUCCUUUAGGCCACACGGAGAGGUUAGUGCCACUUGCUUCAUGCUGGGCUGCCCAGCCCGGCUGCCAUCUUCCUGCUGUCCCUGGGCUGAUCGUUCCCUGCAUCGGGCCGCUGUCCCUGUCCGUGUGGGAGUCUGGGCAUCCAGGGACCUGCUGCCUGGGCACUGCCAGACAGCUGGAUCCGCUGGAAGAUGUGGAACCCAGCACGAGGCGUGAGCUGUUGAGGGGAGCGUGUGUCUGAUUGGGAUUGGCAGCCCAAGAGAGAGGCAGGUUGUGGAGGGGGAGCUGGGGGGUGGGGCGCAGACCCCCGCCCGGCUGAGGUGCCAGCCGCUGGUGGGAGGCGGGGAGUCAGUGAGGGUACCAGUGUGUUUGACGUGCAUCUCAUGCCCCGGAGACCGGUCGUUAAGUAUUCAGGCAGUUGGACGUCCGUAAGCCAUGGCCAGUGUGAGAUUCUCCAGUAGGAAUAUCCACCCCCACCACGGAAAUGGGCCAAGGCUGCCAAUCAGAGCUUAACAUGUUCCGGAAGCUGGGUGAUCCGUGGGCUGCAGCCUCCCACCGCCCCCGCCAUGGACGGUUCUGUGUCCCGCCCCGUCUUCCUAAAGAGCAGGUGAAAUGCACACAGUCACGCACACGUGCUCAUGGGCCCCCACGUCCUUAAACACGUCGUCUCUCCGCAAAACCUGGCGAGGGCACAUUACGAUUUGCAUGUGGCAAGGGGGAGACUGAGGCUGCUCAGAGAGGUUAAGUGGCUUGCCCAAGGCAGUCCAGCAGAGCAGGGCCUGCCGUCCAGGCUGUGGUUCUUCCUCUUGCCCCCAAGGGCUGUGCCCCGGGGGCAGCAGAUGAAGGCUGUUCUGCGACAGCUUUCUGGGGCCCGGUUGCUCCUGAGCUGGUGGUCAGUUCCCGAACCCCGCCAGUGUUGCCUGAACCUGGAGAGGUCAGAGGAGGGAGGCUCGGGCGUCCUCUGCUCCCGCCUCGUGCCCGUCUCCUUCGGCGCCUGCCUCCAUGCAGACAGUACCCACCAUAGAAAGGCAAUUAUAUAUAUUUUCGAGGAUGAUGGGCCCGUGCAGAGAGAAGCAACUGCUUUCAUGGGCUUUCUCACCCACGCUUACCCUCGUCGUGGCGUUAGGAGGGGAGGUGCCCCAUUCCACCUGCUUAUCGGGAGGGUGACUUCUGUGUCCCAGGAUCUGCCGGUUCCAUCGUGUGGGGUCAGGCUGCAGGUGGCACAGGUCAGCUGUCCUCCUUUUUUUUUUUUUUUUUUUUUUGUCCUCCGUUUAUUUCAUGAACGCCCUUCAUGAGAAAUCCAUUUUACCCCGUGAUUCCUGUUUACAACGCCAUCCCUGAGACAGAACUUUGUGUGGGGCCCUCGUGUUUCCUCCCUGUCUCCCUCCGUCCCAUCUGACCCUCUUCUGUCCUGUGUCAUUUUUCAAGCUGCUGUUUUCAACCCCUAAACUGAUGUUAUGACCCACAGGUGGGUCUGAAGCCUUGGCUCUGGGAACUGCUCCUGGUGGCUUUCCGGGAGAGCCAGGGGUGUCGCCACCAGGUGCUUAGCAUCUGUUGGCCACAUCUGGCGGGGGUCCGUAGGGUGCCAUACUUUGGGAGCCUAGGUGCCCCGGGGCCAUAUGGGGACUGUUAAGGGGGAAGGAAAUUAGGAGCUUCUGAGGAUCUGGUUACUCAGAACCCUGACCCCACUGAGAGGAAUCCAAGGCCAGGGUUUGGGGUCCCUUGUGCUGGUCAUGGUCCCAUGUCUUGGGGGGGGUGUGCCUUGGAGCUGGAUGCUUGUAGAGCCGUGGGGCAGGCCACCUGCCCGGACAUGUCAGCGUUAGUUCAGGCACGGCUGGGAAGGCAGGAGGGAGAGAGCGAAUCCACUCCAGCACGGAGCAGACCCAGUUUGGGAAGAGUAAACAAUUUUGAACUUUAAGCUCCGACUCUGUAGAACAAACCCCCCUGCCAAGCCUGUUUAUGCCGCCAGGUGUCACGAGGCCUCUGUCCACACCUGCGCAGAUACAGCUCCUGCUGCUUGUCAAGGCCUUGCGGGGCGGGGCGGGGGAGCAGGAGCUCUGAUGAUCUGUCCUACCCACUUUUUUAGACCUGAGGUUGUCUACACUGUUUGAGGUUGGCUUUUGUGGCAUGCCUUUUAAAAACUGUCCUGCUGGUGUUGGACGCUUUCUGUGUGAAAUUGCCAUUUUGUAUUCACACAGUAUUUGAUACACAUUUGACUUCAGAAGAAGCAUCCUGCUGGUGAAAAUCAUUGUCUCUGGUGGAACAGAAACCGUAAAUAAAGCAAAAAUUCAAGAUG
rnacentral:lncRNA from 1 species